UUUAUAAGUCAGGCCUGCCCAAUGAUAAUUAAGUUUAAUGGCUGCAGUAAUUUAACUGUACAAAGGUAGCAUAAUAAUUAGUUUUUUAAUUGAGGACUCGUAUGAAAGGUUUCACGAGAUAUUAACUUUAUUAUUUUAAUAAGUAGAAUUUUAUUUUUUAGUAAGAAAGCUAAAAUUUUUAUAUAAGACGAGAAGACCCUAUAGAUUUUAAUAAUUAUAUUAAUUAAGUAUAAUAAGAAUUUAAUAUAUUUAUAUUAUUGAAUUAUUUUAUUGGGGUGAUAGUAAAAUUUAAUUAAUUUUUAUAUAAUUUAUACAUUUAUUUUUGAGUUUAGGAUCCAUUUUUAUGAUAAUUAGAUUAAAUUACCUUAGGGAUAACAGCAUAAUUUAUUUGGAAAGUUCAUAUUGAUAAGUGAGAUUAUGACCUCGAUGUUGGAUUAAGAUUAAUUUUAGGGGCAGAAAUUUAAUAAUUAUGUCUGUUCGACU
rnacentral:rRNA from 1 species